rnacentral:ncRNA from 1 species
GGACAGGGGAGCUUGUGAGCAGGCUGAGAGGAAGUUAUCAACUUCGACCCUUACACCUGAUUUGGAUAAUGCCAACGUAGGGAGCGAA